rnacentral:rRNA from 1 species
GCCUACAUGAAGCUGGAGUUGCUAGUAAUCGCGAAUCAGCAUGUCGCGGUGAAUACGUUCCCGGGCCUUGUACACACCGCCCGUCACACCAUGAGAGUUGGCAAUACCCAACGUACGUGAUCUAACCCGCAAGGGAGGAAGCGUCCUAAGGUAGGGUCAGCGAUUGGGGUGAAGUCGUAACAAGGUAUC